rnacentral:rRNA from 1 species
CUAAUACCGCAUAAGCCCACGGCUCGGCAUCGAGCAGAGGGAAAAGGAGCAAUCCGCUUUGAGAUGGCCUCGCGUCCGAUUAGCUAGUUGGUGAGGUAAUGGCCCACCAAGGCAGCGAUCGGUAGCCGGACUGAGAGGUUGAACGGCCACAUUGGGACUGAGACACGGCCCAGACUCCUACGGGAGGCAGCAGUGGGGAAUAUUGCACAAUGGGGGAAACCCUGAUGCAGCGACGCCGCGUGGAGGAAGAAGGUCUUCGGAUUGUAAACUCCUGUUGUUGAGGAAGAUAAUGACGGUACUCAACAAGGAAGUGACGGCUAACUACGUGCCAGCAGCCGCGGUAAAACGUAGGUCACAAGCGUUGUCCGGAAUUACUGGGUGUAAAGGGAGCGCAGGCGGGAAGACAAGUUGGAAGUGAAAUCUAUGGGCUCAACCCAUAAACUGCUUUCAAAACUGUUUUUCUUGAGUAGUGCAGAGGUAGGCGGAAUUCCCGGUGUAGCGGUGGAAUGCGUAGAUAUCGGGAGGAACACCAGUGGCGAAGGCGGCCUACUGGGCACCAACUGACGCUGAGGCUCGAAAGUGUGGGUAGCAAACAGGAUUAGAUACCCUGGUAGUCCACACCGUAAAC